UACACAGCAAAUUGAGCAGAGUUAAAUUUCUGGUGUUAAUAAAGAUAGAGUCAAUCGAACUCUAUUUGGAAUUGAUCUAAAUCUGUAUGUUGUUAAAUCUGUUUGAUUUCACACUGCACCACAAAAGAGUUGGUGUCAAAAUGGAGUGUUAUUACUGUUAUUGUGAAACCAACUCUAUGGGUCGUCAGUCUCUCAGCUCGGGUGUAAGGAGUGACUACCCUCUGGCAUCGCGCGAACAAUAAUCUCGUGAGAGCAACAAUCUGGCGGGAUUCAAGUAAUUUACCUGCACAACUCAACUGGAACGCAACGAGCAGCACAACGUUUUCGAGGAGAGUUUGUUCAAAAUUGAAGAAAACGUGUUGCAUUGUGUCGGAAAUGUUGGCUAAAGUGGAAAUUGGAGGGGUCCUAAAAUACGUGAAAAUUCCAGAGACUGAUGGAUUUUUUCAAUUUGAUAUGUUCCUUCAAGAAGUGAACGACAAGUUUAGUCUGCACCCAGACAGCUUCAGCGAGGGCCAGUUCACCAUCACAGAUAUGUCAGGAACAGAGGUGGAUGGAGAUAUCUUUGAUGAGGUUGUCAAGUCGGGUGUCCUGACCUUCAAGGGUUCCACCGUCAAGUGUAAGGACCAAUUAUGCACUGGGAAUUGUGACUCUUUUUCCAUACCUCCGUGAUCCAUUCUCCAAACUUGGAUAUGAUGGGACAGUGAUAUGUCUUCAAUCCUUUUGCUGCUGCAUCUACUCCCUCCAACUUCAAGGGGCCAGAAAAAAACUGCCAAGAUCAGUUCAGCUCAAGCAACCAGCCAUCUUGUUAGAUAUCUUAAGG
ensembl:lncRNA